UAUAAACAUCUCCAUAGAUUAAAAUUAUAAUCUAUUCGCCUAUUUUGUUUAUCAACACAACACAAUUCGCUACUGUUUUAGUAAGCCGAGUUCCGAAUCAAAAAUAACUUUUCGCUUCUAAAUGGCCAGUCUCAAUCUGUGAAACUAUUAUAAACCUUAUUUCAAUAUCCAUAGUGGCGCCACCUCCAGCGGUGGUACCGCCGCAACGGAACGGCCCGGCGCCUCAAGCACCCGCGCCGAACAAUAACGAUGGGUGGUCGUCGGACGGCUCGGCUGACGAUAACGUGACGGUGUUGGUGCCGCCCGCGCACCUCGCGCGCCGCCCCCCGCCGCGCCCCCGACCGCGCCCCGGACCUCCUCCCGGUUUGAAGCCUCCCGGGAUAGAGACGCCUCCCAAUGCAGCCGUCAAUGUG